rnacentral:rRNA from 1 species
UACGUAGGGUGCGAGCGUUGUCCGGAAUUAUUGGGCGUAAAGAGCUCGUAGGCGGCUUGUCACGUCGGCUGUGAAAACCCGGGGCUCAACCCCGGGCCUGCAGUCGAUACGGGCAGGCUAGAGUUCGGUAGGGGAGACUGGAAUUCCCGGUGUAGCGGUGAAAUGCGCAGAUAUCGGGAGGAACACCGGUGGCGAAGGCGGGUCUCUGGGCCGAAACUGACGCUGAGGAGCGAAAGCGUGGGGAGCAAACAGG